UUCAAUCACAUCUUAUAUAAACCUUUAAUACGAAAAUAAAAGGUUUACAUAUCUCUAACAUGAUGAGCAACCACAACAAUAUCAAUACUCGAGUCUUUACGACUUGCCAACGAUGCAAAUGCAUGGUACAACAACGACGAUAGGGACACAUUUUUAGACACUAUAUCUCCACCAUCGCGCAUUUUUCCUCGUAUCCUGGUCACCACUAGCCAGGUACAGGUGCCAGACUUUUGAGAAGAUGGAGUUCCUUCAAGACUCAUCUGUUAUAUUUUGAUAUGUAUAUUUUUGGUGUCUAUAACUUUGACAAAACACACAUGUAUGAAAUUAUUCUGUUAAUGCAAUGGAUGAUGUUGUUGCUUGUUUA